UUGUAAGUGUUUAAGGGCGCAUGGUGGAUGCCUUGGCACUGGGAGCCGAUGAAGGACGUUGGAGGCUGCGAUAUGCCUCGGGGAGCUGCCAACCGAGCGUUGAUCCGAGGAUGUCCGAAUGGGGAAACCCGGCACGAGUGAUGUCGUGUCACCCUGCACUGAAUACAUAGGUGUAGGGAGGGAACGCGGGGAAGUGAAACAUCUCAGUACCCGUAGGAAGAGAAAACAAAAUGUGAUUCCGUGAGUAGUGGCGAGCGAAAGCGGAGGAUGGCUAAACCGUAUGCAUGUGAUACCGGGUAGGGGUUGUGUGUGCGGGGUUGUGGGACCUGUUUUUCCAGUUCUACCUGGCUGGAGGGUAGUGAGAAAAUGUCGUGGUUAGCGGAAGUGGUUUGGGAUGACCUGCCGUAGACGGUGAGAGCCCGGUACGUGAAAACCUGACAUCUACCUUGAACGGUGUUCCCGAGUAGCAGCGGGCCCGUGAAAUCUGCUGUGAAUCUGCCGGGACCACCCGGUAAGCCUGAAUACUUCCCAGUGACCGAUAGCGGAUUAGUACCGUGAGGGAAUGGUGAAAAGUACCCCGGGAGGGGAGUGAAAUAGUACCUGAAACCGUGCGCUUACAAUCCGUCAGAGCCUUCGACUUUGUCGUGGGGUGAUGGCGUGCCUUUUGAAGAAUGAGCCUGCGAGUCAGGGACAUGUCGCGAGGUUAACCCGUGUGGGGUAGCCGCAGCGAAAGCGAGUCUGAAUAGGGCGUAUCCAAUCCGUAGGGGUUGGUGUAGUGGUGUGUUCUGGACCCGAAGCGGAGUGAUCUACCCAUGGCCAGGGUGAAGCGCGGGUAAGACCGCGUGGAGGCCCGAACCCACUUAGGUUGAAGACUGAGGGGAUGAGCUGUGGGUAGGGGUGAAAGGCCAAUCAAACUCCGUGAUAGCUGGUUCUCCCCGAAAUGCAUUUAGGUGCAGCGUCACAUGUUUCUUGUUGGAGGUAGAGCUACUGGAUGGCCGAUGGGCCCCACAGGGUUACUGACGUCAGCCAAACUCCGAAUGCCGACAAGUCCAAGAGUGUGGCAGUGAGACGGCGGGGGAUAAGCUCCGUGCGUCGAGAGGGAAACAGCCCAGAUCGCCGGCUAAGGCCCCUAAGCGUGUACUAAGUGGAAAAGGAUGUGCAGUCGCGAAGACAACCAGGAGGUUGGCUUAGAAGCAGCCACCCUUGAAAGAGUGCGUAAUAGCUCACUGGUCAAGUGAUUGUGCGCCGAUAAUGUAGCGGGGCUCAAGUACACCGCCGAAGCCGCGGCAACGAUUUAUCGUUGGGUAGGGGAGCGUCCUGCAUCCGGUGAAGCAGCAGAGUGAUCUAGCUGUGGAGGGUGUGGGAGUGAGAAUGCAGGCAUGAGUAGCGAAUAGGCAAGUGAGAACCUUGCCCGCCGAAAGACCAAGGGUUCCUGGGCCAGGCCAGUCCUCCCAGGGUGAGUCGGGACCUAAGGCGAGGCCGACAGGCGUAGUCGAUGGACAACGGGUUGAUAUUCCCGUACCCGUGUAUGUGCGUCCCUGAUGAAUCCAUUGUGCUAACCAUCCAAAACCGUCGUGACUGAUCCCUUCGGGGUGAGGCGUUGACGGGGCUGCGUGGGACCCCGGUGGGUAGUAGUCAAGCGAUGGGGUGACGCAGGAAGGUAGCCGUACCAGUCAGUGGUUGUACUGGGGUAAGCCUGUAGGGAGAAACGUAGGCAAAUCCGCGUUUCACAUAUCCUGAGAGGUGAUGCAUAGCCGUUUGAGGCGAAUUCGGUGAUCCUAUGCUGCCAAGAAAAGCCUCUAGCGAGGACAUACACGGCCCGUACCCCAAACCAACACAGGUGGUCAGGUAGAGAAUACUAAGGCGUACGAGUGAACUAUGGUUAAGGAACUCGGCAAAAUGCCCCCGUAACUUCGGGAGAAGGGGGACCCCCAUAUCGUCAAGGCUCUUGCGGCCGGCAGCGGGAGGGGGUGGCACAAACCAGUGAGAAGCGACUGUUUACUAAAAACACAGGUCCGUGCGAAGUCGCAAGACGAUGUAUACGGACUGACGCCUGCCCGGUGCUGGAAGGUUAAGAGGACCUGUUAACCCUUCGGGGUGAAGCAGAGAAUUUAAGCCCCAGUAAACGGCGGUGGUAACUAUAACCAUCCUAAGGUAGCGAAAUUCCUUGUCGGGUAAGUUCCGACCUGCACGAAUGGCGUAACGACUUCUCAACUGUCUCAACCAUAGACUCGGCGAAAUUGCACUACGAGUAAAGAUGCUCGUUACGCGCGGCAGGACGAAAAGACCCCGGGACCUUCACUACAACUUGGUAUUGGUGCUCGAUACGGUUUGUGUAGGAUAGGUGGGAGACUGUGAAGCAGCCACGCCAGUGGUUGUGGAGUCGUUGUUGAAAUACCACUCUGAUCGUAUUGGGCCUCUAACCUCGGACCGUAUAUCCGGUUCAGGGACAGUGCCUGGUGGGUAGUUUAACUGGGGCGGUUGCCUCCCAAAAUGUAACGGAGGCGCCCAAAGGUUCCCUCAACCUGGACGGCAAUCAGGUGUUGAGUGUAAGUGCACAAGGGAGCUUGACUGCGAGACGUACAUGUCGAGCAGGGACGAAAGUCGGGACUAGUGAUCCGGCACCUCUGAGUGGAAGGGGUGUCGCUCAACGGAUAAAAGGUACCCCGGGGAUAACAGGCUGAUCUUCCCCAAGAGUCCAUAUCGACGGGAUGGUUUGGCACCUCGAUGUCGGCUCGUCGCAUCCUGGGGCUGGAGCAGGUCCCAAGGGUUGGGCUGUUCGCCCAUUAAAGCGGCACGCGAGCUGGGUUUAGAACGUCGUGAGACAGUUCGGUCUCUAUCCGCCGCGCGCGUCAGAAGCUUGAGGAAAUCUGUCCCUAGUACGAGAGGACCGGGACGGACGAACCUCUGGUAUACCAGUUGUUCCACCAGGAGCACCGCUGGAUAGCCACGUUCGGACAGGAUAACCGCUGAAAGCAUCUAAGCGGGAAACCCCCUCCAAGACCAGGCUUCUCACCCUUUUAGAGGGAUAAGGCCCCCCGCAGACCACGGGAUUGAUAGACCAGACCUGGAAGCCUAGUAAUAGGUGCAGGGAACUGGCACUAACCGGCCGAAAACUUACAACAACCAACAAACACCAAAGUUUGAUGAGUUCCGUAAGAC
rnacentral:rRNA from 1 species